rnacentral:misc_RNA from 1 species
UUGAAUAAGCUUGGUUGGGAUGUUGCUGGCUCUUUUGGAGCAUGUGCACGCCUGACGACCAACUUUAUUACCACCUGUGCACCCUUUGUAGACUCGGAUACCUCUCGAGGAAACUCGGACUUUGAGGAUUGCUGUGCGCAAGCCGGCUUUCCUUUGCAUUUCCGGUCUAUGUUUUUAUAUACACACCAAGUAGGUUACAGAAUGUUAUUAAACAGGGCUUAAUUGCCUUUAAAUUUUAUA